rnacentral:rRNA from 1 species
UACGUAGGGGGCAAGCGUUGUCCGGAAUCAUUGGGCGUAAAGAGCGUGUAGGCGGCCAGAUAAGUCCGCUGUGAAAUCUCGAGGCUCAACCUCGAGACGUCGGCGGAAACCAUCUGGCUAGAGUCCGGAAGAGGAGAGUGGAAUUCCUGGUGUAGCGGUGAAAUGCGCAGAUAUCAGGAAGAACACCCGUGGCGAAGGCGGCUCUCUGGGACGGUACUGACGCUGAGACGCGAAAGCGUGGGGAGCGAACAGG